CAGUCGCCGCGGUAAUACGGAGGGUGCAAGCGUUAAUCGGAAUUACUGGGCGUAAAGCGCACGCAGGCGGUCUGACAAGUCAGAUGUGAAAUCCCCGGGCUUAACCUGGGAACUGCAUUUGAAACUGUCAGGCUGGAGUCUUGUAGAGGGGGGUGGAAUUCCAGGUGUAGCGGUGAAAUGCGUAGAGAUCUGGAGGAAUACCGGUGGCGAAGGCGGCCCCCUGGACAAAGACUGACGCUAAGGUGCGAAAGCGUGGGGAGCAAACAGGAUUAGAUACCCCUGUAGUCCCUGUCUCUUAUAC
rnacentral:rRNA from 1 species